CUGGGAGGCGGAUGUUUACGUC
rnacentral:miRNA from 15 species